rnacentral:lncRNA from 1 species
CUCGCUGUUCCCCAUACAUUUCACCUCCUGAAUCACUGCUUUUCCACAGACUGGCCCCCAUUCCUGGAAUGUUCCUCCUCCUCCUCCCCGGAGCCCUUUGGAAUCCUGAAUACUCUUCAGGGUUGGUUUCUGGUGCUGCCUCCUAGAGAGGUUGUUUCCUGAUCCUCCCAGGUGGCUGUGCUUUCCUCCCUAACCACAAAUUGCUUUGUGUUUGCUUUUUAAGAAAGAGGAAUCCAGAGGCUAGAGAUGGACUUCUGCCUUAAUUUCUUCUGGAUCCCUGGGACUUCUGGGGCCUGACACCUUUUUGUGUACAGACCUUGUUUCCCUCUGUAGACUUGUAAAAGGCCUUCAGGGUAGGGAAAGGUGGUUAAUAAAUGCUUGUUAAAUUUUACUGAGUGAUUCUCAAGCAGUCACCAAGGGAGAUCUGGAGCUGGAGCAGUAAAGUGGGAAGAGAAACAGAGAGGAAGACGGCAAGCAGAGGAAUGAUUCUAGAGAUCAUCUUUCAAGGUGAGACGACAGGCAAGUAUGUAUCCUAUAAAGAAGAAGGUACCCCGGACCUGUGACAA